UGUAAAAAAUUUCAUUAAUUUGUACUGUAAAAGACGGAUAUUACUAACAAAAUAACUAGAUAGUUAAAUGUACCUCAUGCCGGCAUACAAGACCAAUUUUUAAUAGUAGAAAUGGAUGAAAUUUUUAAUA
rnacentral:pre_miRNA from 1 species